rnacentral:rRNA from 1 species
GAUGAACGCUGGCGGUAUGCUUAACACAUGCAAGUCGAACGGUCACUUCGGUGAUAGUGGCGGACGGGUGAGUAACGCGUGAGAAUCUGUCUUCAGGUCGGGGACAACAGUUAGAAAUGACUGCUAAUACCGGAUGUGCCUUUGGGUGAAAGAUUUAUUGCCUGAAAAAGAGCUCGCGCCAGAUUAGCUAGUAGGUGGUGUAAGAGACUACCUAGGCUCCGAUCUGUAGCUGGUCUGAGAGGACGAUCAGCCACACUGGAACUGAGACACGGUCCAGACUCCUACGGGAGGCAGCAGUGGGGAAUUUUCCGCAAUGGGCGAAAGCCUGACGGAGCAAUACCGCGUGAGGGACGAAGGCUUUUGGGUCGUAAACCUCUUUUCUCAAGGAAGAUGAUGACGGUACUUGAGGAAUAAGCAUCGGCUAACUCUGUG